rnacentral:rRNA from 1 species
GCUAGUUGUAUUAACUAUUAGUUAAUACAAGAUCGACUAUGUCGACUAAAGUUCUAGGUAGAAUAAUGAUGAUGACAAUUUUCUACCUAUAUGUCUUGACCAAAUCUCGUGCCAGCAGUCGCGGUAAUACGUGAAAGACUAGUGUUAUUCAUCUUUAAUAGGUUUAAAGGGUACCUAGACGGUUUAUCUAGCCCAAAACAGGGUACGGAUUUUCUAGAGUUUUAUGUGAGGAGGGGAGUACUCAUAGAGUAAAGAUGAAAUUUUGUGAUACUAUGGGGAAACUGGUGGUGGCGAAAGCAACCUUCUAUGUAUAAACUGACGUUGAGGGACGAAGGCUUGGGUAGCAAAUAGGAUUAGAUACCCUAGUAGUCCAAGCAGACAAUUCUGAAUGCCAUAGAUUAGAUUUUUUUUUGGUCUAUAAAUGAAAGUGUAAGCAUUCCACCUUAGGAGUAAUGUGGCAACACAGGAACUGAAAUCAUUAGACCGUUUCUGAAACCAGUAGUGAAGUAUGUUAUUUAAUUUGUUAGUCCUCAAAAAACCUUACCACAACUUGAAUAUUAUUUAAUUAAUACAAGCGUUGCACGGCUGUCUUCAGUUAAUGUCGUGAGAUUUUGGUUAACUCCCUCAAUUAACGUAAACCCUUACUUUA